AUCAGGGAUCCGGAGAGUUAAAUGUCGCCCUUGGGAAGCCGGCGUUUCAGACCAGCACCUGGUCCGGGGAUACAGAGGCAAGCCGUGCCGUGGACGGGAACACCGCACACACCUGUUCACACACCGCAGGUUACCCGGGGGAGGAUAACCCCACCUGGUGGGUGGAUCUCGGCCAGUCGUAUGUGGUUGAAAGGGUGGUCAUCUUUAACCGUCAGGAUGAAUUUCAAGAACGACUCAACCCCUUCAACAUCCACAUCGGGGAUUCCGACCAGGUCAGCACCAACCCCCAGUGUAGAGGUGACCAUCAGAUCGGCCUGACCGAGCCGUCCAUUUCCGUCUC